UACAGAGGGUGCAAACGUUGUUCGGAUUUACUGGGCGUAAAGCGCGUGUAGGCGGCUUGGCAAGUUGGAUGUGAAAGCCCACGGCUCAACCGUGGAAGCGCAUCCAAAACUGCUUCGCUCGAGUCUCGGAGAGGAAGGUGGAAUGCUUGGUGUAGAGGUGAAAUUCGUAGAUAUGACAUAGAACACCCAUUGCGAAGGCAGCUAACUACGCGAUAAUUGACGCUGAUGCACGAAAGCGUGGGGAUCAAACAGG
rnacentral:rRNA from 1 species